rnacentral:tRNA from 1 species
AAAAAGAUAAGCUAAUGAAGCUUCUAGGUUCAUACCCUAUAUAUAAAGGUUUUAAUCCUUUUCUUUUUA